rnacentral:rRNA from 1 species
CCUACGGGUGGCAGCAGUGAGGAAUAUUGGUCAAUGGACGCAAGUCUGAACCAGCCAUGCCGCGUGCGGGAAGACGGCUCUAUGAGUUGUAAACUGCUUUUGUACGAGGGUAAACGCAGAUACGCGUAUCUGUCUGAAAGUAUCGUACGAAUAAGGAUCGGCUAACUCCGUGCCAGCAGCCGCGGUAAAACGGAGGAUUCAAGCGUUAUCCGGAUUUAUUGGGUUUAAAGGGUGCGUAGGCGGUAGGAUUAGGUAGAGGGGAAAUCCCGCGGCUCAACUUCGGAAUUGCCUCUGAUACUGGUCGGCUAGAGAGGAGUUGAGGUAGGCGGAAUGGAUGGUGUAGCGGUGAAAUGCUUAGAGAUCAUACAGAACACCGAUUGCGAAGGCAGCUUACC